rnacentral:rRNA from 1 species
AGAUUGAACGCUGGCGGCAGGCCUAACACAUGCAAGUCGAGCGGUAGAGAGGUGCUUGCAUCUCUUGAGAGCGGCGGACGGGUGAGUAAUGCCUAGGAAUCUGCCUGGUGGUGGGGGAUAACGUUCGGAAACGGACGCUAAUACCGCAUACGUCCUACGGGAGAAAGCGGGGGGAUCUUCGGACCUCGCGCCAUUAGAUGAGCCUAGGUCGGAUUAGCUAGUUGGUGAGGUAAUGGCUCACCAAGGCGACGAUCCGUAAACUGGUCUGAGAGGAUGAUCAGUCACACUGGAACUGAGACACGGUCCAGACUCCUACGGGAGGCAGCAGUGGGGAAUAUUGGACAAUGGGCGAAAGCCUGAUCCAGCCAUGCCGCGUGUGUGAAGAAGGUCUUCGGAUUGUAAAGCACUUUAAGUUGGGAGGAAGGGUAGUAACCUAAUACGUUGCUACUUUGACGUUACCGACAGAAUAAGCACCGGCUAACUUCGUG